GCGUUUGGUUUGCUGUUUUCCCAUUCCGCGCCGAAUCGGUUACUCCCCCAUUACAUUGAUUGCGCGUAAUAGGCAUUACGCCCCCUCAGCGCCGAUUACCCAUUCCGCGUCUUUCCCUUUUUUCUCUUCCGUUUUCUGCCCUCGUCCUCAACGUUCUAAUUCUCCCACGCUUCCUUGCACAGGGUGAAGUUUUGAGACCCUUAUCAGAAAUUGAUGAUCUUUCCAGUACAUUUUCAAAGUUGAACACAACCAUCAAUGGACCAAGAUGGUCAGGGAUUG